rnacentral:rRNA from 1 species
AGGAUAGAACGCUAAGGCGACAGGCCUAACACAUGACAAGUCGAGGGGCAGCACGGUGUAGACAAUACGACGGGUGGCGACCGGCGCGACGGGUGAGUAACGCGUAUGCAACCUGCCUACUACAAGGGGAUAACCCGUUGAAAGACGGACUAAUACCCUAUAACACAGGGAAUCCGCAUGGAUAUAUUUGUUAAAGAUUUAUCGGUAGUAGAUGGGCAUGCGUUCCAUUAGCUUGUUGGUGAGGUAACGGCUCACCAAGGCAACGAUGGAUAGGGGAACUGAGAGGUUGAUCCCCCACACUGGAACUGAGACACGGUCCAGACUCCUACGGGAGGCAGCAGUGAGGAAUAUUGGUCAAUGGACGAGAGUCUGAACCAGCCAAGUCGCGUGAAGGAAGACGGCCCUACGGGUUGUAAACUUCUUUUGUAAGGGAAUAAAUAGUCUUACGCGCUAAGACGUUGCAGGUACCUUACGAAUAAGGAUCGGCUAACUCCGUG